rnacentral:rRNA from 1 species
GACGAACGCUGGCGGCGUGCUUAACACAUGCCAGUCGAGCGGAAAGGCCACUUCGGUGGUACUCGAGCGGCGAACGGGUGAGUAACACGUGAGUAAUCUGCCCCUCACUUUGGGAUAGCCACCGGAAACGGUGAUUAAUACCGGAUAUGACCAUAUGUCGCAUGGCGUGUGGUGGAAAGUUUUUCGGUGAGGGAUGUGCUCGCGGCCUAUCAGCUUGAUGGUGAGGUAAUGGCUCACCAUGGCUUCGACGGGUAGCCGGCCUGAGAGGGUGACCGGUCACACUGGGACUGAGACACGGCCCAGACUCCUACGGGAGGCAGCAGUGGGGAAUAUUGGACAAUGGGCGUAAGCCUGAUCCAGCAACGCCGCGUGAGGGAUGACGGCCUUCGGGUUGUAAACCUCUUUCAGUACCGACGAAGCGCAAGUGACGGUAGGUACAGAAGAAGCACCGGCCAACUACGUG